AUCUGGGAUGGAACAGAUGUUGACCUGGAUCCUCAAACUCCUGGAAAGCCACUGACAGGUCAAAAUAAGAAGGAGUUUGUGGAGGCCUAUGUGAAUCAUGCCUUCAACACAUCAGUGGAGAAUCUGUUCCAGGAGUUCAAGCGAGGCUUCUUCCUGGUGUGUGAGCAGGAUUUGGUGAGGCUGUUUCGACCAGAGGAGCUGCAGGGAGUGCUGGUCGGCCAGGACGUGCAUGACUGGGAAAAGUUCAAACAGAACACAAGUUAUGGUUGGAGAUAUCAUGACCGCCACCCCACCAUACAGAUGUUUUGGGAGGUAUUUGAUGAACUAACUGAAGAGCAGA